CCAAAAUGACUGAGCUUUGUUUAACAAACACGUACGACAAUGCUAGCUUGUUAUUAGCCAAAGGCUGAUCUUUUAGUGUUUGAUGAUCUGUCGGUUUGUCAAGUAACUUAAUUGUAAUCUGAAUGCCUUUGCUUUUGAAAGCAAAAUGUGUCUGUUUGGCGUGCAUCAGGUGUAUGGAUUCCCUCCUUCCGUACCGUAGCCAAGUCCUUACAUAUUCAUUCACGAUGCUGUAAACAUUUCACUACCAUUCUGGCACUAUGCUGGCCAGCCACAUCGGAAAAGCAACCUAGUGUAGCUGUGUUCCUCCGUGAAAAACGGUCAAAUAUUGUUUGUUUCUGUGUUGCCAAAUUGCCAAGUUGCUAGUUGGUGAUGAAAUGAUGGUCAUUGGUACGUUCGUUUUCAGUAGGCCUAUGCAAAUGGCGUCAUUAAUGUUGACUGUACUGAGUGACGAGUGCAUAGUGUAAUGCAAACUGUCAGUAAUGUUGACGAUUGCAGGCCUACUGACGAGUGCAUUGUGUAGUAAACAUCCUUUCCCCAUCCUCAUGUGACAUGGUUUCAUUCUGUAGGCAAAACAACAAACCACACUUCACCUGGAAAACACAGCCAGGACUCACUGUCAGAUGUCUGAAAAUGUACAGUACACGCCAGCAGGUCUCACCAUAGUCAACAUCAUUAAGGAUUUGGCUCUCUGACCUGAGAAGAGGCCCCAUAAACACACCUGACAAGGACCAGCCACUGUUGCCAGUGCACAACUGAGGACCUGACCAGCCUGCUGCCAUCUAUGAUACUAUAUAGUACCCGCUGAAGAUGUGCACAGUACGCUGCUGCCUGCAUCCUACCACCACAGAGGAUCCG